rfam:Paenibacillus curdlanolyticus YK9 ctg109, whole genome shotgun sequence.
ACGUUGCGAUGAUGUGAGAGGUUGCCGACACACCCGGCCCCUUUGCCAUGGGGCGUGUGAGACGGGUUUUCUCACGGAGUAUGUCCGAUAAAAAUUGGGCGA